UACGUAGGGUGCAAGCGUUGUCCGGAAUUAUUGGGCGUAAAGAGCUCGUAGGCGGUUUGUCGCGUCUGCUGUGAAAACGCGAGGCUCAACCUCGCGCCUGCAGUGGGUACGGGCAGACUGGAGUACUGCAGGGGAGACUGGAAUUCCUGGUGUAGCGGUGGAAUGCGCAGAUAUCAGGAGGAACACCGGUGGCGAAGGCGGGUCUCUGGGCAGUAACUGACGCUGAGGAGCGAAAGCGUGGGGAGCGAACAGG
rnacentral:rRNA from 1 species